rnacentral:rRNA from 1 species
AUUACUAAGCGGAGGAAAAGAAACUAACAAGGAUUCCCCUAGUAACGGCGAGUGAAGCGGGAAGAGCCCAGCACCGAAUCCCCCGGUCGCAAGGCCGGCGGGAACUGUGGUGUUUAGGACGGUCGCCGCGGAGCGGUCGGGAGUCGGAGUCCUCCUGAUCGGGGCUACCCAGAGCGGGUGUCAGGCCCAUACGGCGCCCGGCCGUGCCGCAUAGAUCGUCCUUGGAGUCGGGUUGUUUGAGAAUGCAGCCCAAAGCGGGUGGUAAACUCCAUCUAAGGCUAAAUACAGACACGAGUCCGAUAGCAAACAAGUACCGUGAGGGAAAGUU